GCCUAGUUAGCUUAGUUGGUAGUGCGUCUGCCUUGUAAGCGCAGGCCGCGGGUUCGAUUCCCGCCCGGGGCG
rnacentral:tRNA from 1 species